UAGGUGGAAAACCCAAAAUGAUAGGCAGAAGGCUCUACCAAUUGUCGCCGCUUCCGUCCAUCUUCAGAAUCGCCACAACGCAAGGAUUCUCCAAUGCAGGCAACCCGUUUCGUAAUGGCUCAGCUUUCUCCCAACUCCUUCAAGCCCAAGCAGGGCGAUCAUAUGCUCGCAGUAGACGUUACUAUGAUCUAUUUAAGGGUCGUGUACCUGGAGCCCAGGAAUUCAGGAAAACUUGGGCUAAAGAAAUGGAGGAUGAGGAUAACUGUUUAUGGACUGGAAGUGAGGGCGAGAGUGAACCUGAAAAUGAGCCAAGUUCUUUGAAGAAGGAAAUCAGAAAGGCCAAACAACGAGCUAUAGAGCACUCAGAUCGCAUUGAUGCAGACGACAGUGAUGAGCUAAGAAGUGUGUGGUCUGGUAGUGAUGAAGAGAAGACGCUGUGGACUGGUAGUGAAGGAGAUGAUGAUGAUGACAUCCCUACAGAAGCUUAUCCAAACGAGAAGAGUGAUGAAUAUAUAGAUAAACUGUUUGAGUUUGAUGAAAAGCCAAAGUAUCGAACACUCUCUGAGGCUUUAAAAGAUGAGGAGGAGCCAGAAGAGUUACCGCGUGGAAAGCAAGCUAGGAAACUUGCAGUUGAAAAUGCCCUUAAGAAAUUGAAGAAGGGGCCUGAUGGUAGAUACAUCAAUGUGUGGGAAGUCAUGAGUGAUCUGGACAUUCUAAUAGGGGCUUUUGAGAACAUCAUUUCAGGGCCAGAAUAUGCUGAACUCAGGCAGGGGGGACCUAGGAAGUUGAAUAUGCAGUUUUUUAAGGACAUUCAAGCUCGUAUGAGAGAUCCAAACUAUAAGUUCUCUCCUGAACUGAAGUUAAAACCGAAGAGCAAAGUGGUCCCGAGAAAGAAGUGGCAGAAGGUAGAAUCUAGACGUAGGAAAGCCCGGAAGCGGUAGAUAAGUUGUAGCCUUUUCUUGGCAUCCAAACUUUUGUAGGUGACUGAAGAAAUGGAGAUGGCAUUUGUAGAAUUUAAUGCAGAAAAGAAUUUCAGCUUUAAUUUGAUAAUACUUGUUAGAUGCUGUCAAAGAUUUGUUUGAUGAAAUGAGGGAUGAUGGAAUAUUGGCUGGUCGAGCUAUGCAAUGGUCAUUGCAGCGAAUGCAGGAUGCAGGUUAUGAUGAAAGUGUGAAUGAAUUGAUCAGAGAAAUGCUUCCAGAUAGGAGAAUUAAGAGUAUUGCAUAUUCCAUGGAUGUUAAUGAGGAAGAAAAUGCUGACUUUGUUUCUGAAGAUGUUGGAGAUCAACUUCAAUUGAAGCCAUGGCUGGACCCUGCUGCUUUAACUAGUGCAUUGCAGCAUUGGAGGGUGGAAAAUUUGUGUGGACAACUCGGUUAGUAUGCAAGAUAUAUGAGGCAGAAACAACAUGGCAAUUCUUUUGCUGGGUUUCUUAUCAACCAGGAUUUACUCAUGAUUUUUACACAAUGUCAAGGAUGAUUGCCAAUUUCUUUUGAUUGGUCCAUGUUAACCACAGUUGAUGAGGCUAAAAGAUUCUAUCCUUUGGAUUUGGUGCAAA